rnacentral:rRNA from 1 species
AGCGAACGGACGAGAAGCUUGCUUCUCUGAUGUUAGCGGCGGACGGGUGAGUAACACGUGGAUAACCUACCUAUAAGACUGGGAUAACUUCGGGAAACCGGAGCUAAUACCGGAUAAUAUUUUGAACCGCAUGGUUCAAAAGUGAAAGACGGUCUUGCUGUCACUUAUAGAUGGAUCCGCGCUGCAUUAGCUAGUUGGUAAGGUAACGGCUUACCAAGGCAACGAUGCAUAGCCGACCUGAGAGGGUGAUCGGCCACACUGGAACUGAGACACGGUCCAGACUCCUACGGGAGGCAGCAGUAGGGAAUCUUCCGCAAUGGGCGAAAGCCUGACGGAGCAACGCCGCGUGAGUGAUGAAGGUCUUCGGAUCGUAAAACUCUGUUAUUAGGGAAGAACAUAUGUGUAAGUAACUGUGCACAUCUUGACGGUACCUAAUCAGAAAGCCACGGCUAACUACGUGCCAGCAGCCGCGGUAAUACGUAGGUGGCAAGCGUUAUCCGGAAUUAUUGGGCGUAAAGCGCGCGUAGGCGGUUUUUUAAGUCUGAUGUGAAAGCCCACGGCUCAACCGUGGAGGGUCAUUGGAAACUGGAAAACUUGAGUGCAGAAGAGGAAAGUGGAAUUCCAUGUGUAGCGGUGAAAUGCGCAGAGAUAUGGAGGAACACCAGUGGCGAAGGCGACUUUCUGGUCUG